AUUGAACGCUGGCGGCAGGCCUAACACAUGCAAGUCGAGCGGAUGAAGGGAGCUUGCUCCUGGAUUCAGCGGCGGACGAGUGAGUAAUGCCUAGGAAUCUGCCUGGUAGUGGGGGAUAACGUCCGGAAACGGGCGCUAAUACCGCAUACGUCCUGAGGGAGAAAGUGGGGGAUCUUCGGACCUCACGCUAUCAGAUGAGCCUAGGUCGGAUUAGCUAGUUGGUGGGGUAAAGGCCUACCAAGGCGACGAUCCGUAACUGGUCUGAGAGGAUGAUCAGUCACACUGGAACUGAGACACGGUCCAGACUCCUACGGGAGGCAGCAGUGGGGAAUAUUGGACAAAGGGCGAAAGCCUGAUCCAGCCAUGCCGCGUGUGUGAAGAAGGUCUUCGGAUUGUAAAGCACUUUAAGUUGGGAGGAAGGGCAGUAAGUUAAUACCUUGCUGUUUUGACGUUACCAACAGAAUAAGCACCGGCUAACUUCGUG
rnacentral:rRNA from 1 species